UGGUCUGGGCGUAAGCUCUUUGGACCACCGUAGGCGGGAUGAAGUUCC
rnacentral:sRNA from 12 species